UUCCGUUGGGUCCCUUUUCUAAUGUGCCUCCUCCAACUGAUGCCCAAAGAUAUAAAGGCAAAUAUAUUUGAUCUCGUAAAAUAACCUUUUUGACAAUUUAACUCGGCAAAAAUUUGGCAGCAUCCCGUCCCCAUACUUUUCAUCCAAAAUUUAGUAGUGUCCUCUCCUGUAAGUUGUACUUGGCUGUCAUGGUUGGUUAUGCACCAAAACUCAUCCUUCUUAUGUUGUAAACUUCUAGGCUUUCAAACUGCAAAAUUAACUUUUUCCCCCCCUGAGGGCUGGAAUGAAAUGAAAAAGAGCGUCUUGGUAUACUUGAUUAAACACAGCUAAUAAAAGACAGCUUAGGAAUACUAAAGCCAACAAUGUAAAUACUAAUUAAUCUCCUAUAGAAAAUAAUGGUUAUGUAUCCUGUAUGUGCAUACACAAAUCUAGGGUGUAUAGAAUUUUAAUAUAAAACUGGCAUUACUGAUUUAGAAGGUGCCAUUACACAUUGACCAAACUUAAGAAGAAUAUCUCUUUAAAAUGUGUUGACAUUUAAUUGACCUUUGAAAGUUCAUUCUGUUAAUCAUACUCAAAAGCGCUAAAGCUAUGGUUGACUGAUCUGGUGUUCUUACAUUCAGUCGUGCUCAGCAUAUAAAUUCUACAACAUAAUUGCUACUUAUUGAGCAAGAGUUUCUUUUCUUCCCUGAAAAUGAGAAAGUUUUACUUUGCCUCGGGUUAGAUGCUUGUUGUAGAGUUUUGAAUCAAAAUGCUUUCCUGUCACUAGUUUGUGUUGGGUGUGGCCUCUAGUUACACAAAAAAAAAAAUCAUUAAACUGCACUUUUCUUCCUCCUGGAGUUUGAAAUGGACAAAGGUAAUCUUGAAGAGUACUUCUGUCCAGUAUGAGCCAAACCGAAGAGCUUCAACACUUGAUGCUUAUGCUUCUGUAGGCUCUCUUAAAUUCUAGUUAUCUUAAUACUCACAUUCUGGAGGAAGAGGGCCCAGCUUCAUCAAGAGAUAGGAGUGAGCUGAUGUGGUCUGAAAUACAACUGUAAAACUGCCUGAUGUCUUCU